AAAUCGACCUAUGUCCCAAAUCACCACCAUGAACUAAAUUUAAGCCUAGUGGAACUUUAUUUUUUUUUCCCUUUCUCUUCUGCACCUGCAUAAUGGACGUGACCCUUCACAGCUCUAUCAAUAAUAGAAAUAAUGAGCCCUUCUAUUCAUUUAAUCAUCAACUUUCUCACAAAGGCUCUGUGAAAUUGUAGGUAUUACUGACUUUGAUUUUUCCAGGGGUUUGUUGCCCUCUGGUUGCGUAGGUGAUACUUAGAGAGUUACAGUCUCUCCUUGGGAGGGUCAUUUAGUACUUUGAAGCCCAUAGUUUAAAAGAGGAUUUUUUUUUUUUCACUAAAGAAAGACUAAGCCAGGAGAAGAAUUGAAAGUAAAUUGUUCAUUUUAAAUGCAGUAAGAACCUUACAAGAGGAAGAGCAGGGUCACCCUACCAUGGCUGCGAGGGCCAGCCUAGGGGCCUGCACGGUGGGCCCUGCCCUGGGGCUGCCAGCUUGCCUCCUGCUUGCUUUGUCUGCUACAGAGAAUGGGCUUUGUGCAGAAAGAUGUGUUGAAAAUAUGUUUGGAAUCCUGAUCUUAAACGUACACAUGAAUAAAGCCAAAAUUAGACACGUCGCAUGGGUGCGGAGAGCAUUGCUGCAGAGCAUCUACCUCUUAGUUUGA
rnacentral:lncRNA from 12 species